rnacentral:tRNA from 1 species
GGGAGUUGGCAGAGUGGUUAAUCGCGCCGGUCUUGAAAACCGGAGGCCGUCGCAAGGCGGUCCGGGGGUUCGAAUCCCUCACUCCCC